rnacentral:rRNA from 1 species
GACGAACGCUGGCGGCGUGCCUAAUACAUGCAAGUCGAACGCUUCUUUCCUCCCGAGUGCUUGCACUCAAUUGGAAAGAGGAGUGGCGGACGGGUGAGUAACACGUGGGUAACCUACCCAUCAGAGGGGGAUAACACUUGGAAACAGGUGCUAAUACCGCUUAACAGUUUAUGCCGCAUGGCAUAAGAGUGAAAGGCGCUUUCGGGCGUUGCUGAUGGAUGGAGCCGCGGUGCAUUAGCUAGUUGGUGAGGUAACGGCUCACCAAGGCCACGAUGCAUAGCCGACCUGAGAGGGUGAUCGGCCACACUGGGACUGAGACACGGCCCAGACUCCUACGGGAGGCAGCAGUAGGGAAUCUUCGGCAAUGGACGAAAGUCUGACCGAGCAACGCCGCGUGAGUGAAGAAGGUUUUCGGAUCGUAAAACUCUGUUGUUAGGGAAGAACGAGGACGUGAGUAACUGAACGUCCCCUGACGGUAUCUAACCAGAAAGCCACGGCUAACUACGUG